CAAAGAGGCUUGGAAAAACAUACUUCAAUUUCUCCACUUUAAUAUAUUCUUUUAAACAAUCUUUUAAAAUUUUUUUGUAGGAUUAUCUACAAUCCCCUUGUUGUCCAUCAAGUAGGAUUAGUGGUGUUGAAAUCUUCAUCAGUUCCAGAUGAGUUUGGUUUAGCAAAAUUUUGUAGAUAUAAUACUUUGGGUCCUAGCCUUUAUGAUUUCAUAAGUCUCCAGACUUGGGUCAUAUCAUCAUGAUGGACCCUUGUGCGCUUUUUUUAUGAUAAACAAAUUUUAUUGUGCUUGGGUGGG
rnacentral:misc_RNA from 1 species